CCUACGGGAGGCAGCAGUGAGGAAUAUUGGUCAAUGGUCGGGAGACUGAACCAGCCAAGCCGCGUGAGGGAUGAAGGUACAGAGUAUCGUAAACCUCUUUUGUCAGGGAACAAAGGCGGGGACGUGUCCCCGGAUGAGUGUACCUGAAGAAACAGCAUCGGCAAACUCCGGGCCAGCAGCCGCGGUAAUACGGAGGAUGCGAGCGUUAUCCGGAUUUAUUGGGUUUAAGGGGUGCGCAGGCGGUCUGUUAAGUCAGCGGUCAAAGCCCGGGGCUCAACCCCGGCCCGCCGUUGAAACUGGCAGUCUGGAGUUGGAGAGAAGUAUGCGGAAUGCGCGGUGUAGCGGUGAAAUGCAUAGAGAUCGCGCAGAACUCCGAUUGCGAAGGCAGCAUGCCGGCUCCACACUGACGCUGAGGCACGAAAGCGUGGGGAUCGAACAGGAUUAGAUACCCCAGUAGUC
rnacentral:rRNA from 1 species